GAGUUUGAUCAUGGCUCAGAUUGAACGCUGGCGGCAUGCCUUACACAUGCAAGUCGAACGGCAGCAUGAUCUAGCUUGCUAGAUUGAUGGCGAGUGGCGAACGGAUGAGUAAUACAUCGGAACGUGCCCUGUAGUGGGGGAUAACUAGUCGAAAGAUUAGCUAAUACCGCAUACGACCUGAGGGUGAAAGUGGGGACCGCAAGGCCUCAUGCUAUAGGAGCGGCCGAUGUCUGAUUAGCUAGUUGGUGGGGUAAAGGCCCACCAAGGCGACGAUCAGUAGCUGGUCUGAGAGGACGAUCAGCCACACUGGGACUGAGACACGGCCCAGACUCCUACGGGAGGCAGCAGUGGGGAAUUUUGGACAAUGGGCGAAAGCCUGAUCCAGCAAUGCCGCGUGUGUGAAGAAGGCC
rnacentral:rRNA from 1 species